AUUGAACGCUGGCGGCGUGCUUAACACAUGCAAGUCGUGCGGUAACAGGCGUAGCAAUACGUGCUGACGAGCGGCGAACGGGUGCGUAAUACAUGGGAAUCUGCCUUUUAGUGGGGAAUAACCCGGCGAAAGCCGGGCUAAUGCCGCAUAAGAUCUUCGGAUGAAAGCGGGGGGAUCGUAAGACCUCGCGCUGAUAGAUGAGCCCAUGCCGGAUUAGCAGUUGGUGAGGUAACGGCUCACCAAGGCGACGAUCCGUAGCUGGUCUGAGAGGACGGCCAGCCACACUGGGACUGAGACACGGCCCAGACUCCUACGGGAGGCAGCAGUGGGGAAUAUUGGACAAGUGGGGAAACCCUGAUCCAGCGACGCCGCGUGUGUGAAGAAGGCCUGGCGGGUUGUAAAGC
rnacentral:rRNA from 1 species